rnacentral:tRNA from 1 species
AGCCUCGCAGCUCAAUAGAUAAGGGCGUUGGCUGAACUAAAGCCUUCCCCUUGCUGGCGUGGGUUCGAAUCCCACCGAGGCCG